UAGAUAGAACCUUUGUAGCCUGUGCGGGCGUUUGGGUUUAGAUGGUUGUCCAAGCGUGGCAUAACACCCCUUUUGUUUUAAAGUUUGAAUUCGCUUCCGCAUUUCAAUUCCAUUAUGGUUAGUGAGAAG